AACAUGGAGGCGCCGCAGCUGCACGCAUCGCCGCUAGAGGAGAACGCCGCCAGCGCCGGCAAAGCUCUGCGGCAGAUGCGGGCGCUACUUGCAGAGCGUCCCGACGUGGAACUCAGCUGCCUGGAGGACUGGUAUCUGCUGCGUUUCCUGCGCUGCAAGCUGUACGACCCCACGCAGGCUCUCCGUCUGGCGCAGCUGUACGAGGAGUUCGUGCGCCAGCGCGGGCCCGGCUGGCGGCGCCCACGUCGGCCGUGGGUGCGGCGCUGCCUGACCUCUGGCGUGCUGGAGGUGC